rnacentral:rRNA from 1 species
GACGAACGCUGGCGGCGUGCUUAACACAUGCAAGUCGAACGGAAAGGCCCUGCUUUUGUUGGGUGCUCGAGUGGCGAACGGGUGAGUAACACGUGAGUAACCUCCCCUGGACUUUGGGAUAACGUCAGGAAACUGGGGCUAAUACCGGAGAGGAGCUCCUGCUGCAUGGUGGGGGUUGGAAAGUUUCGGCGGUUGGGGAUGGACUCGCGGCUUAUCAGCUUGUUGGUGGGGUAGUGGCUUACCCAGGCUUUGGCGGGUAGCCGGCCUGAGAGGGUGACCGGCCACCUUGGGACUGAGAUACGGCCCAGACUCCUACGGGAGGCAGCAGUGGGGAAUAUUGCACAAUGGGCGGAAGCGUGAUGCAGCAACGCCGCGUGCGGGAUGACGGCCUUCGGGUUGUAAACCGCUUUCGCCUGUGACGAAGCGUGAGUGACGGUAAUGGGUAAAGAAGCACCGGCUAACUACGUG